rnacentral:lncRNA from 1 species
GCGCUUGGGUCCCUGUGUGACCGUAGAGGUUGCACACCCAUGAGGCCUGGUCUGCUACUCACACAAAGACCCGAGUAUUAACCGUCUCCUGACUACUUCUACUUGGAUGUCCCACAGGGCACAUAUCCAACUCAACACGUGCAAACUCAACUCAUAUCUACGUCUCCGUCACUCCAGAAGUCCUCCUCCUCUCUUGUUUUGGGGAGCAGCAAAUGGCAUUUCCAAGUCAGAAGUCGAGUGUCGUUCUUACUGCCUUGUUUUUCUCAGCCUUGGCAGCCCAGUUUUCACGGGAGGUUUGGUCUUCUCCUCCCCAUCUUCACUACAUCUGCCUUGGUUUCAGACACUCCUGGCUCUCCUGUAGAUAAUAGCCACCCUCAUCUUCUCAGCUAGUCUCCUUGCCUCCAAGUGCGUGUCUUUGUAAAUCUGUUGUCCAUACCAGGAUAAGAAAGAUAAUUCUGUAACCUAAAUUUGAAACUGUAACUUUCUAGCCUAUGAGCCAUCAAUGGUUUUCUGUUGCCUUCAACUUAAAAUUCAGCUUGACAAAAUGAGAGUCCUUGUGAUCUAGCCCCACCGCACCUAUGGCUGAGACAGGCUGGACCACGGGAAAUUCCCUAACCCAUCCAGCAGAGAGCUACACCGGCACAUGAAAUUGUUUCAUCCAGAAUGCCAGUUUUAGUAGCCUAGAGUAAGCCUUACUCUCUCAAUCCUCUUUUCUAAUUCUUCAUGUUCUAAAAGCAUACCAACGCCAGGGAAUCUCUGUCUAGAGGUGGUAGUUGGCUAUUUCUGAUUGCUCUCCUUAAAUAGCUACUGUUGCUGUUGAACAGGGAUGUGCUGGCUAUUGUUCAUUUUGGUUCCUGCCCAUGGUUAAACUCAAUUAUGAGGAGAGGCUAAGUAAGGUUUCUGUAACAAGUGGCUUUCAAUAUCAGUUAUUGUUACAACUGUCAAUGACACCAUCUUUCCUUUGGAACAAGAAGUAAUUUCCAUGCACUGGUUCUAUUAUCCAACAAUUCCAUGCCUAAAUAUUUAUUCAAGAAAAACAGAAAUGCUUAUGCUCAAAAGGACAGGGAUUUUCAUACAAUAGAAUACCACCCAGCAAUAAAAAGGAUGUGCUAAUGAUACAUGCAGAACCAAGGAUAAAUCUCAGUGAAUUGUGUUAAAUGAGAAAAACUAGACACAAAA